rnacentral:rRNA from 1 species
AACGAACGCUGGCGGCAUGCCUAACACAUGCAAGUCGAACGAGACCUUCGGGUCUAGUGGCGCACGGGUGCGUAACGCGUGGGAACCUGCCCUUAGGUUCGGAAUAACUCCCCGAAAGGGGUGCUAAUACCGGAUAAUGUCUUCGGACCAAAGAUUUAUCGCCUUUGGAUGGGCCCGCGUUGGAUUAGCUAGUUGGUAGGGUAAAAGCCUACCAAGGCGACGAUCCAUAGCUGGUCUGAGAGGAUGAUCAGCCACACUGGGACUGAGACACGGCCCAGACUCCUACGGGAGGGAGCAGGGGGGGAUAUUGGACAAUGGGCGAAAGGCUGAAACAGCCACGCCGCGUUAGUGAUGAAGGCCUUAGGGUUGGAAAGCUCCUUUACCCGGGAUGAUAAUGACAGUACCGGGAGAAUAAGCUCCGGCUAACUCCGUG